CCUACGGGGUGCAGCAGUGAGGAAUAUUGGUCAAUGGGCGCGAGCCUGAACCAGCCAAGUCGCGUGCGGGAAGACGGUCCUAUGGAUCGUAAACCUCUUUUGCCCGGGGGUAAAACCCUCCACGCGUGGCGUUCUGCGGGUACCCUGCGAAAAAGCACCGGCUAACUCCGUGCCAGCAGCCGCGGUAAUACGGAGGAUCCGAGCGUUAUCCGGAUUUAUUGGGCUUAAAGGGUGCGUAGGCGGGAGUUCAAGUCAGCGGUAAAAUUGCGCGGCUCAACCUCUCCGAGCCGUUGAAACUGGUGGUCUUGAGUGAGCGAGAGGCAGGCGGAAUGCGUGGUGUAGCGGUGAAAUGCAUAGAUAUCACGCAGAACUCCGAUUGCGAAGGCAGCAUGCCGGGGCGCGACUGACGCUGAUGCACGAAGGUGCGGGUAUCGAACAGGAUUAGAUACCCUAGUAGUC
rnacentral:rRNA from 1 species